GACGAACGCUGGCGGCGUGCUUAACACAUGCAAGUCGAACGGAAAGGCCCUGCUUUUGUGGGGUGCUCGAGUGGCGAACGGGUGAGUAACACGUGAGUAACCUGCCCUUGACUUUGGGAUAACUUCAGGAAACUGGGGCUAAUACCGGAUAGGAGCUCCUGCUGCAUGGUGGGGGUUGGAAAGUUUCGGCGGUUGGGGAUGGACUCGCGGCUUAUCAGCUUGUUGGUGGGGUAGUGGCUUACCAAGGCUUUGACGGGUAGCCGGCCUGAGAGGGUGACCGGCCACAUUGGGACUGAGAUACGGCCCAGACUCCUACGGGAGGCAGCAGUGGGGAAUAUCGCACAAUGGGCGGAAGCCUGAUGCAGCAACGCCGCGUGCGGGAUGACGGCCUUCGGGUCGUAAACCGCUUUCGCCUGUGACGAAGCGUGAGUGACGGUAAUGGGUAAAGAAGCACCGGCUAACUACGUG
rnacentral:rRNA from 1 species